UACAGAGGUGGCAAGCGUUGUUCGGAAUUACUGGGCGUAAAGGGCGCGUAGGCGGUCUUCUAAGUCUUGUGUGAAAUCCCUCGGCUCAACUGAGGAACUGCACGGGAUACUGGAUGACCUGAGUUCGGGAGAGGGAAGCGGAAUUCCGGGUGUAGCGGUGAAAUGCGUAGAUAUCCGGAGGAACACCGGUGGCGAAGGCGGCUUCCUGGACCGAUUACUGACGCUGAGGCGCGAAAGCUAGGGGAGCAAACAGG
rnacentral:rRNA from 1 species